UCCCUGGUGGCUCAAAUGGUAAAGAACCUGCCUGCAAUGCAGGAAGCCUGGGCUCGAUCCCUGGAUUGGGAA
rnacentral:tRNA from 1 species